UACGGAGGUGGCAAGCGUUGCUCGGAAUCACUGGGCGUAAAGGGUGCGUAGGCGGGUUUUUAAGUCAGAGGUGAAAUCCUGGAGCUCAACUCCAGAACUGCCUUUGAUACUGAAAGUCUUGAGUAUGGGAGAGGUGAGUGGAACUGCGAGUGUAGAGGUGAAAUUCGUAGAUAUUCGCAAGAACACCAAUGGCGAAGGCGGCUCACUGGCCCAUAACUGACGCUGAGGCACGAAAGCGUGGGGAGCAAACAGG
rnacentral:rRNA from 1 species